rnacentral:rRNA from 1 species
UAUGGGGGGAGCAAGCGUUGUUCGGAUUUACUGGGCGUAAAGGGCGCGUAGGCGGUCAGCACAAGUCAGUUGUGAAAUCUCCGAGCUUAACUCGGAAAGGUCAACUGAUACUGUGCGACUAGAGUGCGGAAGGGGCAACUGGAAUUCUCGGUGUAGCGGUGAAAUGCGUAGAUAUCGAGAGGAACACCAGUGGCGAAGGCGAGUCUCUGGACGACUCCUGACACUGAGGCACGAAAGCUGGGGGAGCAAACAGG